UAGCUGUAUACAUGAUUAUUGAAGCUGUCCAAUUAAGCAAGAAAGAAAAACUCAGGUUUCUUAUUGUACAUUUAGAAGAGCAGUGAUGUCUCUGAAUUGUAAAGAGGUAUUUUGUGUACAAGUGGUAGAACUGCAACUCAGAUAAGCUUAAACAACAAAGGGAAACUGUUGACUCAGAUAAUACAUGGAGAAGAGAAUGGAUAGAGCCUCAAGCGUCAGAGCUCAAAUGCUGUGGUCUAUGCCCUCCUACGCUUGAUUUAUCAGGCCCACUUCCCUGUGCACAACAGCUCCAUUCUGUCCUUACAGAUGCUCUUCCAUGGUGUCCCCCCACCAUGACCAGGCUUAUCCCUUCUUAGCUUAGCAACCCUAGUGAAAAAAAGAGAGCUUUUCUCCAACAUCUGCAUAUCAACUCUAUGCUCACUACUUGGACCAAUCAUAGUUAACAGGGUGAUGACAUAUUAGAAAUGGCCAAGUCUGAUUGAUUUCGGAAAGAUGGCAGCGGGUGAUGGCUUGAAGCAAGAUCUUAAUUCUCUGCUCAGGAAUUGAACCUGGGCAGCCUGGAUGAAAACCAGGAAUCCUAGCCACUAGACUGGCUAGAGGCUAAAAGCAGAACUGCCCUGAUUCUUGCCCCCUGUUGAAAGCAAGAAUGUUUCAAGGAGGCAAAGACUGUGAAAAGAGGUACAAAGUUUAUUGUUAGAAACACAGUACGACAUGUGGGAAAGCACACAGAGACUAGUCUAUUUAUCUAAGGCAGAAGCAGAGCACUAAUACACACCCAAAGAAGUGUGGGUUUGGGCGUCCCCCUGAAUGAGGAGCACACCAGAGAGCUAACUUAAACCACAUAUAUAGGACAGUCCUUCUGGCUCUUUGUCUUCCUUUGGCCCAUUAUCUUGUUUUAUCUUGUACACCUGACCAGACCCAGGGCCCUCCCCUGAUCUACAUGCUCAUAUUUUGGCCAGGAUGGAUUCCAAAGCAAAGCAUGGGGGAAAGGUUAUCUAGACUUACUAUGGCCUGGCACCCCUCCCUUUCUGACCCGGAGGCAUCUCUCUGUGCAUGUGUAGUUGGGGUCUCCCUGACCCCGAGCAUGGGGAGUAUGUACGUGACUUCUUUGUUCUUCCUUCCAUCCAAGCAGGGCUCAGGACCUCUUUUGAUCCUGUCAUUACCCAUGUUUAUCAAGUUCACAGAAGACAAGUACCAGUUAGUUACUUGCCUUGUGCCUGUUGUUAUUUCUAUCCUCAAGUAUAGAUAGGUGGCUGGUUGUAAUUGUUUGUCCUGGAGCCCACCUAUCUCCUGCCUCAGGAUCACCUGUCUGCUCUGGUGCCCAAGGGGACAAAAUCUAUUAUUUAAAGAAGGGUGCUGAGAAAGUUUCCUGAGCAUACACAUGUGCAUGUGCAUACACACACACUCGUAAGCCACUAUGCAGGGGUCAGCAAUCAUUUUCUGUAAAGGGCCAAAUUAUAACCAGUUUAGGUUUUGCAGUCUCCAUAAGGUCCCAGUCUCAUAUUCUUCUUUGGUUUUUGUUUGUAUUUUUUAACAGUUGUUAAAACAACACAAAAAGUGUUCUUAGCUUGCUGGCUAUACAAAAACAAACCACAAGCCAGUUUGCCAACCACUGCACUAGAGUAUAGCACAAGCAGCAUGAAUAUGCAGGACUUUUCAUUAUGGAAUUCGUGCUAUGUUGGAUAUAUUUAUAAAGGUCUACAGGUUUAGACAUUCGGAAUAUUACACUAGUGAGGAAAUAUAGCGGAGGGGUGGGGAGGAAAUAAUCUCUAUCCAGGAGUCAACAAAGGAACAUCUUUUGAGCACAUACCAUUGAAAUUCCAGAAUUCUCGGCACUCUAAUAAAUUGUGCAUUGUAUUUUAAAGACCCCAAGUUACCUAUUAUUUUGUGUAUCAGUAUGUACUUAGAUGGAGAGAGGAAUAGCAUAGAUAUUCUAGAACUUUAAUGGAGGCAAUAGAAAGAACAAAAGAACAAAGGGAAACCUUUAUACAAAUGUCUAUCCUUCUUCCUUGUAAAGGAUUCUGAAUAUCAAAUAAUGGGAGUAGAGGCAAAUUUAAGUUUUCUGCCCUAAUGAAUUCAAUUCAAAAUCUAUUUUAAUAUUAGACGUCUUUAUGAAUAUUAAUCUUCAACAUAAGAAACUAGAGAAAAGAAUAUUCUGCAUUCCCUACUCCACCCACUUCCUCUAUCAUUGCUCCUAUGCCCUUUUAAUGUCAUUUUCUAGCAGUGAGAUAGAACACUGACAAGCUAUGGGUAUCACUCAAAAUUUAACAAAUAUAGCAAAAUAGGUCACUACUUACAAGACUCCACAAUACUGAGUGCCAUUUAUGAAAAUUUACUGUUUAACAUUAGACCAGUGGUUUUGAAAUCAGAGAGUCUAGGAGCUUACAUGGGAAAAAAAAAUUUUGUGUUUCUUUUCACUAAUCACUAACUGAAAUUUAGCAUUUCAAAUAGUCAAAAAACCAUAGUGGUAUUAGCAGCACAUGUCCCUUUGUCACGGCAUCACAGGUAGUUUCAUAUUACAACUUCUACACAAUAUAUUUUCAUAUUACUUCUUACAUAGUAUGUUAAAGAUGUUGCAUAUCUAAAAAUAUCAUUUCUACUCACCACUACUUAGAGACUACAAUAAUUAUUAACUUGCCACUAGAUCUAAUUACAGAGCACACUGUGGUAUGUAGAAUGAGUGGCCAACAGGCACCUGCUGUAUAGCACAGGAAACUCUACCCAACAUUCUGUAAUAAUCUAUAUGGGGAAAGACUGAAAAACAAUGGAUGUGCAUAUGACUAACUUGCUUUGUUGUACAGCAGCAAUUAUCACAAUAUAAAUCAACUAUACUUUGAUAAAACUUUAAAAAUGAAAAAAGAGGAGUUCCCUUCGUGGCUCAGCAGAAAUGAAUCUGACUAGUUAUAAGUUAAUGAGGGUUAGGUUUAGGGUUAGGGUAUCCAUGAGGACGCAGGUAUGAUCCCUGGCCUCACUCAGUGGGUUAAGGAUCCGGCAUUGCCAUGAGCUGGGGUGUAGGUUACAGACACAGCUCGGAUCUCACAUUGCUGUGCUCCGAUUUGACCCCUAGCCUGGGAACCUCCAUGUGCUGUGGGUGUGGCCCUAAAAAG
rnacentral:lncRNA from 1 species